GAGGAAAGGGGCUUAUUAAAUACCAGAGUGAACCCUACCAUCAACUUUUUGUUUGCUCCAGAGGUGGUAGCAGAACCAGUGGGGUAAGGAGUGCGCUGGAAUAUCUGCGGCUGGUAUGGAGCAGAGUGUAAAAGUGUAUCUCUGUGUCAUGGCUGCUCUGCCCCUCUCUGGCACCUCCUGUCAUAUCAAAGGCUUGCCAGCAGCAGGAUGGGGAAUAAAGCUAUCCAGGAUGGUAAUCCGCAGCAAUUUGGGGGAUUUUAAAUCUACCAAGUCUCCCUCUCCAGAGAUUUGUAUUUGAUGCCCUGAAAAAAGUCUACAACAUUUGAAAAGUGGCUGUUUCUGCAUCUGAAACAUGCAGAGGUUUCAAUUUUGAAGGGCACAUUUCAAAACCACUUUUUACUCAGGAGCGUAAAGUGGGCAUUUCUCAGCGCUCUGCUCCACCCUUGUGUGUGUAGCAGAAGGCACAGAGACUCCUGAUUUGGGCAGUUUUGCAACUUCGUUGCAGAUGUUUUGCACAUUUUAGAUAAAACCUGCUUCCUAGCAUUAGCUCUCUUGAGGUACUGCGGUGGAGCCCGGCCCUUCCUGAAUGGCUGGGAAAGAUAGGAUGUGGGCAGGGCCGGCUCUAGGCACUCUUGGGGCGGCACAUUUCUAGGGGCGGCAUUCCGGCCCCCGCCGCCCCAGCUCCCCUGAGCGCGCCGCCGACGCUCCGCUUCUCCCCGCUCCCUCCUUCCCAGGCUGCCGCGGUUCUGCGCGGCAAGCCUGCGAGGGAGGAGAAGCCGAGCGGCGGCGCGCUCGCGGGAGGGGGCGGCGGUGGAGCGGAGGUUUCUCUACCCCAGUUACUCCCUGCGCCCCCCCGCCGCUCUCCCUGCUCCCGUGAACGCGCCGCCGCUCCCUCGCCUGGGGGGGGGGGGGAAGCGGAGCGGCGGCGCGUUCAGGGGAGUGGAGGCAAUUCAAGGUGAUGUUUUUCCCCUGAUGAGGAGCAGAUGUCUGUCUGGUGAUGUGCACAUUCGACACAGAUCUGUUGCUGCCUGUCAAGCAGCUGGAUGGUCAGUGUAUAGACUCCUUCGUCACUGAAAGUCACACAAUGAAUCGUCAAGGAAAAGUUCGUAUGAGAAAAGACAACUCUCUUCUUGUAACUUUCAUUAAUAUAGAUGUUCUUGGAGCUGGGUGAGUAUGUUAGAAUGGAGACCUCUUUGUUCCUGUUCAGCUGUGCACACCACUCCACGUUAAAGACCGAAGAAGCGUUCAGAUUGGUCCCCAUCAGCAGUAGUGUGGUGUUGAAGUGCCAAUAGACUUCUUUAGUCUUUUGGUGCAUCGUGACCUCUGAGGAGAAGAAGUCAAGCAGAACAGCAUUAGUCGUGCUGGAAAGGUGGCCAGAAGUUAACUCACGUGUUGCUCAAAGAAGUCAGAAGCCGUGUUGGAAGGAGGAAUAUUAUCAGUGCUCUGGGGUGCAUUGGCAAGGACUACCCUCGCCUGGGCCUCCUUCCGAAAUGGGGAACUCGAUCAUUAACCCAGAGCCCAAUCACCUCAUCGUUUUUAUGUGCACAACUCCAGCUGAGUGUACACAACUGCCAUGAAGGGUGGGACUCUGGAGUCAGAAGAGCAGCCAGCCCAGCGUUCAUUCUGAGGUGCAUAGGAAGAAAAGCAGGGAGUCAAAAAUUUUGGAGCGUGACAGUGAAAUGUUUGCUCCAGUGAAAAAAUUGGGGGGAUUUAAGAGGAAGCUCUUCUAAGCCCACCAUCAUGCUUUCCUUGCCCAGCAGGUUUGCUCGCCAUUAUGAUCCAAUGACUGCCACACUGUUGGGCUGAAGACCAUGUUAGAGAAGGGGAAACUGUUUGAAAUCACCUCAUCCACCUGCUGAGCUAUUCUAACCUUUGACAGCAAGAUCUCGAGCAAGAUACCGAAGCCACAGUGUGUCCCGAUCUCAUACUGAUUCAGGUGUGUUUUCUUUUGCUGUAGCAAAUCUAGGACCAGACAUGUGACCAGCUCAGAAAGACAGAUACCACGGUGAGAUAUGCCUUAGAAAUAGCUAAGACAGAUGGGGAAGAGCAUGGAAUGAGCGUCUCCUUUCCUAAAAGCACCUAAUAAAGAUAUUUAGGUAUGUUUUAAAUGCCCAAGAAUUAAAACUGACAGAAGAGAGAGCACCAUAUUUUCAGUGUCUGUGUAGCCCUGUCUAGACUGGAGUUUUUAAUCCCUGCUGUAACUUGAGAUAAUUGGCUGCCAUUUAACUCCACCUAAUUAACGUGAAUGUAAAUGCAAUGCAAAUACUCCACAUUGCUCUGGACACCAACAUUUGUCCCUGGUUGUAGCUCAGCAUUGAGUUCAACCGGAUCUUGUUGCACUUGUGACAGUGCUGUGAUUCCACCAUGGAGUAAUGGGAAAAUAUUCUCUCUGCAGUACUGUUGCUGACUGAGGAGGAACAACGCGAGAAGUGGCACAACUGCUUUUCAGCAGAGACAUUUACAGAAGCUGUCACAAAAUUAGGCAAGCCUUUCAACUGCUUUGCACAUGACUUGCAGAUCCCAAGUCAAAGCAGCUGCAGUAAUUAUAAAUACGGAACAGAGGAAAGAUCUGUGUCCAGAUUCUCUGAAUUAAACAGAUGGAAAUCAGUGCAGGCCCACAGUCCUAGACCCCACCCUGCUGCCCCCUUUCUCAGCACUCUGCUCCCCACUAGAAGCAGGAAAGAGCAUCCCCUGUGCUCCAUAGCAGCCAUGCAAGAGGAAAAACUUGUUGAGCACCCUGUGCACAAGGGCCGCUCAGAGUCUAGCCAUUGCUGCUUUUUGCCUGUAUAGGAUGUGCCUGCAUGGCACUAAGUCCCCUAACUUGGUCACUCUGGAAGCUGUUUCAAGAAGCACAUAACCCUACUCCUGUUCAAGUGACAUGUGGCUUCACACCUCUUGUUUCCUUUUUGGCAUCAACACCUCUUUUGCCUUUCCUCCUCUGCGUACCCAAGGCAAUGGCCAUUUUGCAACCUGUGUUUCUCAGAACUGAUCUCACUUCCUGGCUCUGACAACAAGGGCCAACCUUUCAGACUCUGCAAAGGGCAAAUGGUGGGCAAGUGGCUGUCAGCACCUCAUGCACCAAGGAGUGGAGUUGAUACUGUGCUGGGGCCAGAGCAAUAUACAAAGACAAGGGAAGGGAGACAAAUGUCACAUCAUGCCCAGUGUUCCUAGGGCUUAGCAUCUGAGAAGGUCUAGAACAGGGGUGGCCAAAUCGUGGCUCACAAGCCGCAUGCGGAUCUUUUACAGAUAAAGUGUGGCUCGCAGAACCCCACCCCCAUUCUCCACCUACCAGACUGCAGGGACGGGGAACAGACCUCAGGACCUCUGCCUUGCAGCGGGGUGGUGGAGUAGGGGCUUCUGCCCAGCAGGGAGGGGUGUUUUGGGGCCACAGACCCAUGGGGUGUGGCAGCCAGGGCUCGAGCCUUCAGCAAGAGCAGUGCUGAAGCGCCGAGCCCCGGUAGGUGUGCCCUGGCUCUCAAACUUUGGAAGAUUGUUGGAUGUGGCUCCUCCAGGGUCAGUAAGUUUGGCUCUCAAACUUUGGAAGAUUGUUGGAUGUGGCUCGGAGGGUCAGUAAGUUUGGCCACCCCUGGUAUAGAAUAUGCCAACAAUAGUUGGGUGCUGCUACUCCACUGACCCCCUGUGGGGAAUUUUUAUUUUUAGCACAGCUGUCAGUACAGGGUGAGACAAGGUGGGUGAGGUGAUACCUUUUAGUGGGCCAACUUCUGUUGGUGAGAGAGAUGAGCUUUUGAGAUACACAGUAAAAGAUAUGACCUCACCCUCCUUGUUUCUCUAAUAUCCUGGGACUGACCAAGCUGCAACAACACGGCAUAGUACAGUGUGAUGCAUUUUACAGCUGCUAUUUCUCCUGGUAUUACUCCUCAAAUUACUCAGGUAAAUGCAGCUAACAGCGAAGGCUCUGGGCCAUCACAGAGCUUAAACCUUUCUCUAAAGGGCUGAUCCUAGACAGUGCAAGCCAGUGGGAGCUUUGUCAUUGGCUUCAGUGGGAGCACGAUUGAGCCCUAAGUGCAGAUGCAAAGAAGUGCACUGGAGUUCCUGGAUCAGCCGCCCCUGGAGAGCUGAAAGCAGUUACCUGAUCUCCCAGUUGGGAGGGCAAAUCUUCUGCUUGUCCAAAGGCUCUGCACAACAUGGGUAACAGCCAUACAACUUUUCCCCACACUGAACUACCAAACUGCCUUUUGGACUUCACCAAAGGGUAGGAAUGCCCAGAUUUAAAUAAAGGAAUCAAAAUGAGAUCAAGAAAAGGCACAUCUUAUUUGCCAGAAUUUUUAUUUUGCUGCACUCACCCAACUCUGCUCCUAAAUUGAGAAGUAUGUUGCAGAGAGGAGACACAGUCUGACUUUCAGAUCAAAGACACAGUGCAUACAAGAUAGUUAGCGUUAGACCCUAGACAGACAAGGAGACAACAGAAUUUCUUUCCAGACAUGCCAGUUCCUGUGACAUAAUCGUGAGUUUUGUGAUAUUGGGUGUUCUGAAAGCCCCAACUCCUGGUGUCGUGUGUAUGAGAAUCUGAGCUUAAAGUAAAUUUCCAACCUUCAUGGUUGCAGAGGAAAGCUAGAAAACACGCUCCCUAUGGGAUCAAAAGUGAGAAGACAAAAAGACUCCAAAUUCGUUCUUUUACAAAAAUCUCAUGGUUUUGGGGGGACCUGGCUUAUGAGUUUCAAAUCUUUCGGGCUGGCAAUACUGCAAUGAGAUGGUCCCCCCCCACAUUGAACUUCCCUACAUUCAUCUAUCACGUGAUCAUUCCCUGUUCUGUGGCCACACUGAGGGCUUCUGCUCCCAGGCUGUCGCUCAAGUUCAUGGGGACUAAAUUCACUGCAAUUGUUUAUUUAAGAAUCUUUAUUUUCAAGCAUGAGCGAGGGAGAAGGCAGGGCACGCUGGACAUGUCUUUGGGGUUUAAGAGCAGAUGUCUUAAAAGAAAUAUCUAUGCUGAUUAGCAGCUAAAUUGUGACUUUAACUACAUGCCCAUACAGGGGAAGUAAGAACCCUGCUUAUGGGUCUAACUGGACAUUGGACUGGGAGGAGUUUGUGGAUGGGCAAAGGCCAGCGACAUGACUUCCCUCACCCACUCACUGGCAUAGGGGAUAUCAUAAUUUGUUGCUGGUAUAGGAAAGCAGCAAACUACUGCAUUUCCUUCCCCUUCCCCAGAAGCCAGGAGGAAGCAGGGAUAGAACUGUGACUCAGAGGGGUGUCUUUGAGUCACAGUGCGUCCCGGGGCUUCUCCUAACUUGGCAUUGCUUUCUCACUACCCUUUGUUCAGGGCUGCAUCUAGGGUCACAGUCCAGCCCUGUGUGAUCUGACUGACUGAAAGCGUUUAAGUUAUUUCUGGUGCGUGGUUUCCUGGUAUCUCCUCCGUCAGCGGAUGGUGAGUUUCCUUGGGAAACAACUUUCUUUUAAAUUUAAAAACUUUCUUCAAAGCUCUUAUAGGGCUGGUGUGAUGCUGGCUCACGGCAGAAUCAGCCUUACUAAACCAGUCAUUACUGCAGGACAUGGGCACAUCAGUAGAUUCAUGGAGAAAGCUCAAUGGGCAAUUUCCACUUGCUUGCCCACUUUUUCACUUGCUUCUUGAGUCUAAUCUCUCCACUCCCAUGUAGCUGCCCAGAGUUGUGGGGAUGGGAGAGGGAGAAGCAGCCUCACAUUUGCCUUUGUGUGAUGAGGAUGGAAGUGGGGAAUGGAACCUGUGGAUACAAUCUGAGCUUCUUGGGACCAAUGCAGUUGGGCCAUAGGGAAAGCCAACUGAAGUCAGUAGAAUGACUCCCAUUGACUCGAGUGGACUUUGGAUCAGGCCUCUCUCUGCACCUUGGGUGUCCAGUUUAACCAUUUCCUGUUCCACAGUGAUGAGUGUGGCAUAACAGAUCAGACAGACAGACAUACUCCAACAAAUAACCCAGCAACUGCUUUUCUAAAAGAUCUGCUCAGUUCAAAUAGGAAUUAAUUCAGAGAAGCCUUGGAAUCUAUUAAUCAUUCACACUAGAAUUCGGGAUACUUUUCUUUCUGUGAACAUUCUGAGAAUAAACCCUUCCUCAUCCAGACUCACAUGGAAGGGGGGUUUGUCAUUUGUGCCCCAGCUGAACCCCACUGACUUCAGUGGGGCUCUAGGCAUGCUCGAGUGUCCACAUAGGUCCUGAUCCUGCAAGUGGAUGAAAGUUGAUAAAAGGGUUUGUGAAUAAUUGUAAAACAGAGCAACAGGUUUUGUGUGCAAGAAUAUUAAUAUUGGGUUGGCUUCCCCCCCCCCCGCCACCUUGUAUUCACCCAAUUCUGUUCCACAAUCUCUAUUGACAAGGAUGAUGUAUUUGAUGCAGAGUGAAUACAGCUUGACUUUCAUAGCCCAGACGUAACUGGUGGUGAUGGCAGGCAGAAUACGCUUGCUUCUAUUAAUUUAAUUUUUGGUGUAUAAGAGUGCCCAUCAGUACAUUCUCCAGGCAUGGAGUAAUAUGCAAAAACAAGAAUUUGUUGAACAAUAACAGCACGAAAGACAUUUUUCUCUAUCACACAACUGUAGACUAGUUCUGUCCUCAAAACAUCCACACACACACACAACCUCAUCAAGCUAACCUUGAAAACUAAGCCCAUUUGAUAAAGGGAUUAUUGCUGGAUGGUUAUUGUCACAAAAGUUGCUUUAACAUCAGACACAGACAUCACUUCACUUACCAGGAAGAAGGCAAGCAAGAUAGAGCAGAAGAGCAAGCAGCAUCUCAUGCAGAGUUUCCCGGGGCAUGUUCUUCCUGGAAAGUUACAGAAGAGCUAGAGCCUGAGAUAAAAGGAGUGAGAAGUGUUGCUUUAAUAAACAUUUUUUACAGCAGUUUCCUUGGACAAAUCUAUCUUUGCAUCUAUCAGAUAGAAAGGCUGGCCUCCUGGGUCCCAGCUGAGUGGUUUCAGUUUAAAACCUGGUUCUAUCACAGAUACUGUAUGUAAACUUUGACAAAUCACUUAAUCUGUGAGAUGCUCGUGUAAUUAAAAAAUGAAUCAUAAUGCAUAUGCACAAGGGUGGGGUGGGGUGGGGUGGGGGGUGAAUUCAGGUUGCACUGCCAACCUCAGUUCUUGUAUUUCCUAAUUUUCCACUGUGUGACUUUGCAAGCUUAGUGUCCUUUUCAUAUAGCUUUGGGAUGGAAUUUCUUACAUUUUUAAAAACAUUAAAAGUUGAAAAAACAAAAAUGUUAUUUAAUCA